UCUCCCGUGAAAAUAUCUUCUCUUUCCCUCAUCCCACUACUCUUUUCCGUGCCGCCGCCACCCCCUUCCUCUCGGCCGCAGCCUCCUCUCCUCCACCUCCACCACCUCCUCCUCCCCUGCCUCUCUUCCGCCCGUGUCUCCUCACCCCCUCCCUCUGCCUCCAUGCUCAAAAGGAGGAGCCGUGGUCGCUGCCGUUGUGCCUCUACAUCGUCCUCACACGCCGUCAUCCUCGCCAUUCUGCCGGUGGAGAGCUCCUCCAUGAUGGCAUCCACCGGAUCUCGCCAGCCCAGAUCCACAUGCCUCCUCCUUCCUCGGCAGCUCAUGGAGCCCCAUGAUGCGCCAACGAUGCGUGACUACACUCGUCCGUGCUUCCCGCCGCUCCCAGUCACCGGGCGUCGUCCCGCCGACGCGGCCCACCGCACGCUGCCACCAGCGUCUUCUUCAUGGCGGUAGAGGCGCAGCUUGGGCUCGGGGACCCUGCCGGCGCCAGCUUCGUCUCCAUGAGAGGGCCGAAUCAGGACGGAUCCAAGUUGCCGACGUCUUUGCUGCCAUGGACGAGCCCUCACCCAGCGACCAAGGAAGGCAGGAGAAAUCCCUCCUCCUUGCAUUGUUGCAUCACUGCAUCCCCACGGUAGUCCAGGAGGAGCUCGACUGCCUGCUUUGAGAAGAAGAGAUGGCAGGAGGAUGAGGCAUGGGCUUGACAAGAAGUGGGUUGGAGCAAGAAGUAGAGCAGACAAUGCCCCUCUCUUAAUUGGCAUCUGCACAGCCAAAUCAAGGACCUAAGCUCCUGGAACGGCCCUCCUAUGCCCUGCUCCUCUCGCAUUGGCGCAAAUUCGGCUCCUCACCGCCUCUGUCUUCAUGUGUGCAGCGACGACCCCGGGAGGAGCUCGAGCCGCAGAGGUGGUCCAUGGUGUCGUCGCCGUCAUCCUCGGCAGGAGAAGCGUGGGCUGCAGAGAUGGCGGGAUCCGUCCGAUCCUUGUGCUGCCGUCCGUCCACCCUCGAGGAUAAUGUGUUUGUUCAGCUGAUCUGUAUAGUUUCAAUACCGGGUUGUUAAGGAGAAUGCAGAUGAUGCAUAUUCCACGAGUUGCAGACCCCCCAACAGCAAAUUCAGUCCUACGUUUUUUAUGGUUACACAGAGAUGGUUGGCUCCGUCCUGCUCCGGCGAUGGCUUCCAUCCACCCGAUGAACAAGACUACAUGGGAGAUGUAUGACGACCUAGCAAACUCCCGUCUGGUCAGCAGCCAAUGAGGGUUCCCCAUCUGAUGCUUGGUGCGGAGAAGGGGCCGUUCUCCUCUCAUGCGAGCAGCCCAAGUGCUGCCUGAUCCUUCCGUCCAAGAUGGAGGUGGUGAACAUCGAUGUGGCGACGCCUGAUGCGUACAUGAGGUCGCUAUGUGUUGUGUCUGAUGUAAUUUGGAACUCCGGAAUUUUCAUGGCUGAAUGUUUGUCUUUGUGCUUGAAUUCAUUUGUGUUUGAUGUACUAUGAAUUAAUGAUUAGCUUUCCGAUUGACUUGGUUGUGUCUUUUGUCCGAAUCAAUUGAGAAAAAACUGAAUAUAUAGCUGAAUGUGGUGGUUUCACACAUUCUGAACGAAGCUCGCAAUGAG